GAUGAACGCUGGCGGCGUGCUUAACACAUGCAAGUCGAACGGAACUCGCUGGGUCAAGACUUCGGUCAAGUGAAAUCGAGUUUAGUGGCGGACGGGUGAGUAACGCGUGAGGAACCUGCCUUUCAGAGGGGGACAACAGUUGGAAACGACUGCUAAUACCGCAUAGCGCAUAUUGAUCGCAUGGUCGAUAUGCCAAAGAUUUAUCGCUGAAAGAUGGCCUCGCGUCUGAUUAGCUAGUUGGUGAGGUAACGGCCUACCAAGGCGACGAUCAGUAGCCGGCCUGAGAGGGUGAACGGCCACAUUGGGACUGAGACACGGCCCAA
rnacentral:rRNA from 1 species